AGGUUCUCAGGCUCAUCUGGCUCAACUGCGCUUUCUCCAGCGAUAACUCAGGAGCCCCAUUCAACCCGCGGAGUGGCAGGUAUAGGGUGUCACCCCUCAGAGCCCUGAGGAUGAGGGUGAGCGUCCAGGCAGCAGCCAAGCCCCCAAGGCUGGCCCACUGACACCGUGUGUUUUUCUAACAGCUUUCUUUGUUGACUUUAGUUCAUCAUUACAACGGCCACAUGAGCAAGUCUUUAUCGGGAACCGUAUCUUUGCUCUGUCACCUGCAAAAGGACUUGAGAACAAUGAAAACUACCUCUGCAGGAUAUUGAUUCUGAUGGAACAAAAUGUUGAUUAAGCAGAACAGUGACUUUUUUUUAACUGGAGGAGCUCCAGAUCUUUCCUUAGUCCCGUCUCUCCAGGGAAAUGAGCUUUAGCCUCAACAAUCUGCAGAAAACUCGAGUCAGAGGGAAGAUUUAUGAUGGGACGUGAUGGGCGGAAGACAGCUAUCUGGUAGGCCAUCUCGAAGCUCAUCUUUGUGUUAUUAGAGAAACACUCUCUCUCUUGACAGGAUAUAGUCUGGUUAUCACACCAUCGUCUCAAGUUUCAUUCCCCUUCUGCUUACAAAUGCCCCAAAUAUACAGAGAUGCAUUUCACGAAGACAGCCUUUUGAGAGGCAGUUUAUCCCAGCUGUUGCAGUCGAUCUUAAACACCUACCUUUUCACGCUGGUGUGGAGUUUACAUGUCGAUAAGCGUUAUAAAAAACGGGGGUGGGGGGCAGGGCGACGUUGGAAAUCUCAGCAAGGGUAAAGCACCAAGGCUGCCUGUGGGAAUUGAAGUCAGAAAAAAGAAAGAGCGCAGAAAGCUUGAUGUUCCAGUAAUGACACCCCCCCACCCCCCCUCCCGCGCCCUGGCCCACAGGAGACCCGCACUGCCUGGGGGCUGGGGGCUGACCCCAAACACCAGGGGCUGUAAACACUUUUCUAGUCACAUAAACAGGAUGGAUUCCUUGCCUGCCACUUAGGUGUUUUCCUGUUAAGGGCCGGUGGCAAAACAGAAGUGAUUAGAUGUAGGUAGAAAGCAGGAGAACCAGACGUGGAAGGUCUCAGGCUUCCCUCAGGAACUCUCUGUCCAGGCGUUGUGCACGUCCUACAGUGAUAAAUCCUCAGCGCCUGAUGUUGCCGCUAUCAUUUGCGCUCCCAGUUGGCCCAGUGGGAUUUGUUGGUCAAUGACCCGUGAGCUUUCUCUCACUCCUGGGUCUGUACGCAUAGAGAGCAGAAAGCUCUUGGGGAGCUGCUGAGAUUAAGUCCCUGAAGACUUUCAAAGUGGGGGGUUGGGGAGUUAGAAUUGAGUGUUAAAUGGGGAAAAUGGGAGUUCCCACUCUAGGACAGCAGAAAGGAAUCUGACUAGUAUCCAUGAGGAUGAGGUUUCGAUUCCUGGCCUUGCUCAGUGGGUUAAAGAUCCGGUGUUGCCCUGACCUGUGAUGCAGGUCCCAGAUGCUGCUGGGAUCCGGUGUUGCUGUGGCUGUGAUGUAGGCAGGCAGCUGUAGCUCUGAUUCAACCCCUUACCUUGGAACUUCCAGGUGGCACGGGUGUGGCCCUAAAAAGCAAAAGAAACAAACAAACAAAUAAGGAAAACAGGAGACUUGGGUCCAGAGCCUUGCCAGGGUCCCAUUUUAGCAGAGGGGGGCGGGGUGGGGGGGUUGUUGGAGAGGAAAUAAACCUGGGACUCCAAGCCCACAGGAUGAACGGUCGUGUUUGAAGUUGGGACUGGUGAGCUCAGGAAGCUGGCUGCAUCGGGUUCCCAUUAGCUCAGGCAGCGGCACAGUGGGUUCACACCAUCGACAUGGUAACAAUUAAGCCUUCUGCUACUGGUCCUUCCCUGGGGGUGAGGCUCUUUUGUUCCUCACCCAUGUGACUGCAAGUCGCCCUGGUUUCCUUAUGGCUCGAUUUCCUGCAGAUUCCCAUUACUUAGCAUCUAAUCUUCUGAGACCUCUUAUUAGACCACACAAAUGGCAGCAAUUGUCUCCAGCACAUAGACCCUGUCCCAGACCUGCAAUGCGCCUAGGAGAAAUGCUGUGUCUCUCUGAAAUGUGAGAGUUACUUGCAAUGUAAAUAGUCAGAUUACCAAAAAUCAGAGUUCAUUCAAUAUUAAGGGAAAAUAAAUUAAUUAUACAUG
rnacentral:lncRNA from 1 species